rnacentral:misc_RNA from 1 species
GCAGGUCAGUUCGUGUUCAUUCUGUAUGAUGUAAUAACCCGGCAGUCUGUCUGGGUACUAGGCAUACACGUGAAACACCUUGUUACAGAGAGCAGUUAAGUGGGACAAUCUACUUUUGAAAGAGUGAAUAAGUCGAAAAUACUGAACUUGAAUACAAAUCCUGCAUAGGAAGACCGUGGAAGGACCGAAGCAGGUGACUCUAGUGGUAGAAACUCGGUUGUGGCACUGCGGCCCCUGUCCUUCGAGUCAUGGAGGGGAGACACGCUCCUGCAGACACCGAUCCCAUACCAACCAGCCCUGCUAAGCCCUGCAGGACGUGUGUGGACUUCAGGUCGUGGAUGAAGAGUCAGCGGACCCGUGGGGAGGAGGCAGCCAGGCCGGGUAAGACUAACAGUACCACAGAGGAUGGAACAGCAACAACAACACUAGCAGCAGCAGCAGCAUCCGGCAUCUCAACACAAAGGGGAUCACAGGCAAAUGACACCUCAUCGUCCACUAGUUCCCAAAAGAAUGGUGUACAAGAUGAAGGGCAUCCACCCCUCUGGGGAGAUGCAGCAAAAUAUGGGUGCCCAGCAGACAGUUUGGCCCUGGGACGUGGCACUUGGCGGCUCUUGCACACUAUGGCAGCUUACUACCCUGACCAGCCAUCCUCCCAGCAGCAGCAAGACAUGCGUUCCUUCAUCACACUCUUCUCUAAGUUCUACCCAUGUCCACCGUGUGCAGAGGACUUCAGGGAAUGGCUGAAGACCAACACCCCUAAAGUGGACUCCCGCAGUGGCCUCUCCCAGUGGUUCUGUGAGGCACAUAAUGAGGUCAACAAGAAGCUGCAGAAGCCACUCUUUGACUGCAAACGUAUCAAUGAGCGGUGGCUUGACGGCUGGGCGGACGGCUCGUGUGACUGAGUGGUAGAGAAACGUUGUCUCUGUACACUGGCCAGGGAACUUGUUCGCAUGAAAAGGCCUGGAGAGAUGGAUGACCACUUUCUGAAACACGAACCACAAGGACAAUAAAGACUGCUUCUGUACAGUCAGUCAUACAGCCUGUGCCUCAUUGAGGAUACUCAGGAAUGUCUCACUGUGUUUCCACUGCACAAGUUGGUAAGGUGUCCAGGCCGGGUGCCCUGCUGGGCUCUGACGUGGCUCCAUCCGGCCAGCUGCCUAGAGGGUUCCUGCAGUGGAGGGGUGAGGCCGGGCCUCAAGUGUUGGGAGGUUCAGGCAUGGUGCCAAGAAUGACCUGGAGGCAGGCAGCUCCAUCCACAGAGGAGAGAGAAAGUUUGUGUGUCAGCAGUGUGAUAAAACUUUUACAUCCAGAAAAGGACUUAGACGACACACCCUGACACACGUUGGUGUUAGAAAUUAUGUGUGUCUGGAAUGUGGAAAGAAAUUCACCAGAAAGUCUAAUCUCACCACACACACUCUGACACACAGUGGUGUUAGAAAUUAUGAGUGCCUGGAAUGUGGAAAGAAAUUCAGAGAAGAGUAGCCUCACCAGACACACCCUGACACACAGUGGUGUUAGAAAUUAUGAGUGUCUGGAAUGUGGAAAGAAAUUCACUGAGAAGUGUAGCCUCACCAGACACACUCUGACACACAGUGGUGUUAGAAAUUAUGAGUGUCUGGAAUGUGGAAAGAAAUUCACCAGAAAGGGUCAACUGACCACACACACCCUGACACACAGUGGU